GGGCCCGCACAAGCGGUGGAGCAUGUGGUUUAAUUCGAUGAUACGCGAGGAACCUUACCAGGGCUUAAAUGCAGAACGACAGAGGUGGAAACACCUCCUUCUUCGGACGGUCUGCAAGGUGCUGCAUGGUUGUCGUCAGCUCGUGCUGUGAAGUGUCGGGUUAAGUCCCAUAACGAGCGCAACCCCUAUUUCUAGUUGCCAGCGGUUCGGCCGGGGACUCUAGAGAAACUGCCAGCGUAAGCUGUGAGGAAGGUGGGGAUGACGUCAAAUCAUCACGGCCCUUACGUCCUGGGCUACACACGUGCUACAAUGGUAGGGACAGAGAGUUGCCAACCCGCGAGGGUGAGCCAAUCCCAAAACCCAUCUCAGUUCGGAUCGGAGUCUGCAACUCGACUCCGUGAAGUUGGAAUCGCUAGUAA
rnacentral:rRNA from 1 species